rnacentral:sRNA from 1 species
CACAGUGAUGAGGAACUCGGGUCUGCGGAAUUUGAAGAGAACAUAGGCCGCUGAUU